rnacentral:rRNA from 1 species
GACGAACGCUGGCGGCGUGCCUAAUACAUGCAAGUCGAACGAGAGCGACCGGUGCUUGCACUGGUCAAUCUAGUGGCGAACGGGUGAGUAACACGUGGGUAACCUGCCCAUCAGAGGGGGAUAACAUUCGGAAACGGAUGCUAAAACCGCAUAGGUUCUUGAGUCGCAUGACCCGAGAAGGAAAAGAGGCUUCGGCUUCUGCUGAUGGAUGGACCCGCGGUGCAUUAGCUAGUUGGUGAGGUAACGGCUCACCAAGGCCGUGAUGCAUAGCCGACCUGAGAGGGUGAUCGGCCACAUUGGGACUGAGACACGGCCCAAACUCCUACGGGAGGCAGCAGUAGGGAAUCUUCCGCAAUGGACGCAAGUCUGACGGAGCAACGCCGCGUGAGUGAAGAAGGAUUUCGGUUCGUAAAACUCUGUUGUUAGAGAAGAACAGCGCAUAGAGUAACUGUUAUGCGUGUGACGGUAUCUAACCAGAAAGCCAC